GACGAACGCUGGCGGCGUGCCUAAUACAUGCAAGUCGAACGCUGAAGGAGGAGCUUGCUUCUCUGGAUGAGUUGCGAACGGGUGUGUAACGCGUAGGUAACCUGCCUGGUAGCGGGGGAUAACUAUUGGAAACGAUAGCUAAUACCGCAUAACAGUAGAUAUCGCAUGAUAUCUACUUGAAAGGUGCAAUUGCAUCACUACCAGAUGGACCUGCGUUGUAUUAGCUAGUUGGUGAGGUAACGGCUCACCAAGGCGACGAUACAUAGCCGACCUGAGAGGGUGAUCGGCCACACUGGGACUGAGACACGGCCCAGACUCCUACGGGAGGCAGCAGGAGGGAAUCUUCGGCAAUGGACGGAAGUCUGACCGAGCAACGCCGCGUGAGUGAAGAAGGGUUUCGGAUCGUAAAGCUCUGUUGUAAGAGAAGAAAGAGUGUGAGAGUGGAAAGUUCACACUGUGACGGUAGCUUACCAGAAAGGGACGGCUAACUACGUG
rnacentral:rRNA from 1 species